AUUGAACGCUGGCGGCAUGCCUUACACAUGCAAGUCGAACGGUAACAGGUUAAGCUGACGAGUGGCGAACGGGUGAGUAAUGUAUCGGAACGUGCCCAAAAGUGGGGGAUAGCCCGGCGAAGGCCGGAUUAAUACCGCAUGAGACCUGAGGGUGAAAGCGGGGGAUCGCAAGACCUCGCGCUGUUGGAGCGGCCGAUAUCAGAUUAGGUAGUUGGUGGGGUAAAGGCCUACCAAGCCUGCGAUCUGUAGCUGGUCUGAGAGGAUGACCAGCCACACUGGGACUGAGACACGGCCCAGACUCCUACGGGAGGCAGCAGUGGGGAAUUUUGGACAAUGGGCGCAAGCCUGAUCCAGCCAUGCCGCGUGCGGGAAGAAGGCCUUCGGGUUGUAAACCGCUUUUGUCAGGGAAGAAAUCUUCUGGGUUAAUACCUCGGGAGGAUGACGGUACCUGAAGAAUAAGCACCGGCUAACUACGUGCCAGCCGCCGCUGUAA
rnacentral:rRNA from 1 species